UACGUAGGGUGCGAGCGUUGUCCGGAUUUAUUGGGCGUAAAGAGCUCGUAGGCGGUUUGUCGCGUCGGCCGUGAAAUCUCCACGCUUAACGUGGAGCGUGCGGUCGAUACGGGCAGACUUGAGUUCGGUAGGGGGAGACUCGGAAUUCCUGGUGUAGCGGUGAAAUGCGCAGAUAUCAGGAGGAACACCGGUGGCGAAGGCGGGUCUCUGGGCCGAUACUGACGCUGAGGAGCGAAAGCGUGGGGAGCGAACAGG
rnacentral:rRNA from 1 species